GUGUUUCCAACUUCUGUCACAGGCCACUACUGCCGGGGUUUGUAUAUAUAUUUAUACAUAUAUAUGUAUAAAAUAAAUCGAGUGAAAUGGGGUAACACAAAAAAAAAAAAAUCAAAAGUACAAGAAAAUUUCUGAAAAAAGCAAAAAAAGAGUAAACCUUAUAUAACUUUAUCGAACCGCAUUAGGAAAACAUUAAUAAAAUCUACCGAGUGAAAAAAAAAAAACUACAAAAAACGAGCGGUGUUUACGCUUUUGUGAACUAUCGACAUUUCUUGUCACGAAGUUUCCGCCGCGGACGCGCAGUAACGGACGGCCGCGAAAUCGUAUUUCGUUUCCAUUAUUUUUUCACGCACCGCCCCGCGACAAACGCUCAGGUAUGUCGCGCGCGCCGGUCCGGGGAAGACAAUGGACACUGAUCGCUGUCGGCAACUAAGUGCGUACGGAAUUGGCCUUUGAACUUAUUUUUUCGUGACUCGAAAAAUACAUACAUGUGUCCGUGCGAGUUAUAUUCAGACUGUCGUCGUGAUACCAGAGACGAAUCGCGUAAAAGUCACAACGCCCCGUAAAGUCGAUUUAUUAUUAUUUUUUUCGUUUUUUUUUCCCUCCGAGACGUACGCGGAUAUAUUUUUAUAGUCGCGGCGUCGUCGGCUCGCGAACCGGAUUAACACGUUAAAACGGGAGAGGAGGGAAAGGUAGUCGGACAAUCGUAUUUUCGUUUACAUUCUUGCGGGUUUGCGGGGAUAUAGGGACGGCGUUCCGGACGCGACGACGUUUCUCGAGAGCCGUAAAUUCACCCGUCUCCUCCGGGAACGCUCUCUUAGUAAACCGAAUUUAUUUUCGUUACAUUAUGAACGCCGACCCGUAUGAGUGGCCGUAUAAUAUUGUAUAGGUCGGGUACGCCGGAGCCCAAACUAUACUUCGAGUACAGCAGUUGCUACACAUCGCAUUUCGAACGGACGGGUAAAACGGGUAUGAACAUUCGAGGUACUAGGCUGUAGGUCGGAAAUUAUAUAUUUAUACGGGUAAAAGUUCUUGGGGUGGGUGGUGGUUUGGUGAAUUUGGAAUUCUGCUACACCGCAAAAAUGCAGUUUGGGCGCCACUGGUCUGGCGUACGGGGAUAACGACGGACGAAGCUGAUCGGUGGCGUUCGGGGGGAUGUUUUUUUCUUCAAAUGGGGAUACAAGAAUAAUUAUUG